rnacentral:lncRNA from 1 species
CGCUAUAGCAUAUCAAUGAUACAAUUUGUUAUAGGUUAUACAUAUUUCGUAAAAUUUAUUGUUUUUUUUUUUUAAAUUCUCCUUUUAUAAAUAAUUUCCAUAUUUUUUCUAUUAGUAAAAUUGCUUCCUAUAGGAAGUGGUUGAGAUAUGGAAAUAUAACUUUCACCUUUAAAAGGUAAUAAAUGUCUUUAUUUAAAAAAUAUAUAUAUAUAUAUAUAUAUAUAUAUAUAUAUAAUUAUAUAAUUAUUAUUCAAUUAUAUAUAAAGGGAACAUCUGCAUAUUUUAAUAUAUGCUACUUCCUAAGCAUAAAUAAAUUGAAUAAUUGAAAAAAGAAAAUUUCCAUGGAUGUUGUUUAAGGGUUUAUUACUUCGUCUUCAAGGACACACCAAAAAGGACAAUCGGUACAUUAUCAACUGUAGUUACGUGCCAGCGCAGCCGAAGUUUUUCCGGCAAAUGCCCUUUGCCCCACCGGUACGGGAAUAUUGGUGUCUCCAUUUUUGGCCGAGGGAGGGACCGGCACCCGCUGCAGUGACUGCUGAAGAAGUUGUAGGUCGAUGGACCAGUUUUGUUGGUCGUCUUUGAUGGUUCUACAACUUUGGAGGUGAUGAGUGUUGGCAAGAAGAACCAAAAUGGCUAAGAGGAAAGAAAACUGGAUCUUCAUUUGGGAAAAGGGAGGAGGGUCUUUGAGCUGAUAAUUAAUUAACGAUGAUGGAAAUGGAAAUUAUAAAGUGGUAUGAUAUAAUUGAGGUGAAU